UUCCCUGGGGUGUUGGCCAGUCGUUAAAGUCCCUCGAGCCUAUGCGCAAGACCCAGGGCGGCCAUUAGCUAGCCGGACCCGUGUGCAUGUCCGUAUAUCGGAAAGCCUAACGGUUCGACUGCGGCCACCCACCUUGAACCACAGGGUUCAAGGGCCAGAAUGACAGCGGCACUCUGGGGAA
rnacentral:other from 1 species